UCCUGUGUAGCUCAGUCGGUAAAGCAUCUGCUUGCAAUGCGGGAGAACUGGGUUCAAUUCCUGGGUUGGGAA
rnacentral:tRNA from 1 species